GCUCAAAUAGCUUAUAAUUAGAGCAUGACAUUGAAGAUGUUAAGGAAAUAUUUAACAUUUUUGAGCA
rnacentral:tRNA from 1 species